AUAGAAAUUGCGGCCAAGUUCACUCAAUAACACGU
rnacentral:sRNA from 1 species